UGCAGACGUCGGGGGAGACGGAUGGUUCUCCCCGACCUCGUCGUGGGUGUUGGGAGUAUUGUAUUCCCAACACCUUUCAUGUUGAUUUUAAUUGAAUUCUUAGCCGAAGCUUUAGGCAACUUUGCAAAUUCAAACCUGCUUGUCCAAAAGCAACAGUCUUUUAUUCGCGUUGUGAAACCGGGAAUUGAUUUUCUAAUCAAACAAUUCGCUUUUUUCAUACAUAGAAAAAGAAUACGUGGAUGACAUGUCCUCUUCCCUAGCUGAUCCAGACCACCUCGACAAAUCUUGGUUUUUCCCUCUGCAAAAUGUUUACCUAGGAUUGAAUGCCACUAGUUUAUACUACGAUUUGUAAUAAAAGCCUAGGGACCAUUUGCAAAGCCCAUCCCACACAGCAUCCUGACGUCUUUUAAAAGAUAUUUUUUCAUCGUAACGGCACUACUAGAAUUUUUUUAUUCUGUCCUGAAAUCCUACAAUGACGACUUAAAGAUGAUGUUAGCAGUGUUGAUGACCGGAAAAACUGCUC